CAGCCGCCACGGGAAUACAGAGGGUGCGAGCGUUAAUCGGAUUUACUGGGCGUAAAGCGUGCGUAGGCGGCUUCUUAAGUCGGAUGUGAAAUCCCUGAGCUUAACUUAGGAAUUGCAUUCGAUACUGGGAAGCUAGAGUAUGGGAGAGGAUGGUAGAAUUCCAGGUGUAGCGGUGAAAUGCGUAGAGAUCUGGAGGAAUACCGAUGGCGAAGGCAGCCAUCUGGCCUAAUACUGACGCUGAGGUACGAAAGCAUGGGGAGCAAACAGGAUUAGAUACCCGUGUAGUCCCUGUCUCUUAUAA
rnacentral:rRNA from 1 species